UCUAGUUGGUUAUGACGCGGGUUUUACACACCUGAGGUCCCGGGUUUAAUUCCCGGCUCU
rnacentral:tRNA from 1 species